rnacentral:rRNA from 1 species
CGCCUUUUGAUUUAUUAAUAUAAAAGGUCCUGCCUGCCCAGUGACAUUUGUUCAACGGCCGCGGUAUUAUGACCGUGCAAAGGUAGCGUAAUCACUUGUCCUUUAAAUGAAGACCAGUAUGAACGGCAAGACGAGAGCCUAACUGUCUCUCCACACUAGUUAAUGAAAUUGAUUUUUCCGUGCAGAAGCGGAAAUAAUAUUAUAAGACGAGAAGACCCUGUGGAGCUUUAAGUAAAAACUAGUUAUUUAAUAUAAUAUGGCUAAAACUUUAGGUUGGGGCGACCGUGAGGUAAAAUUAAUCCCUCAAGAUAAAAUAUUAGAAAGACACUUCAAACAAACAAAAUAUUGAUAUAUUGACCCAAAAAUUGAUCAACGAACCAAGUUACCCCAGGGAUAACAGCGCAAUCCACUCACAGAGUCCUUAUCGACGAGUGGGUUUACGACCUCGAUGUUGGAUCAGGACCCCCAAAUAAUGUAACAAUUAUUAAAGGUUCGUUUGUUCAACGAUUAAAGUCCU